rnacentral:rRNA from 1 species
ACGUAGGGUCCAAGCGUUAUCCGGAAUCACUGGGCGUAAAGCGUGCGUAGGCGGGUGUUUAAGUGCAAUGCGAAAUCUUGUGGCUCAACCAUAUAGACUGUAUUGCAUACUGGAUACCUGGAGGAAUGCAGAGGCAAGUGGAAUUACUGGUGUAGCAGUGAAAUGCGUAGAUAUCAGUAGGAACACCAAUGGCGAAGGCAGCUUGCUGGGCAUUUUCUGACGCUAAGGCACGAAAGCGUGGGGAGCGAACAGGA